UACGGAGGGUGCAAGCGUUAUCCGGAUUCACUGGGUUUAAAGGGUGCGUAGGCGGCCUAUUAAGUCAGGGGUGAAAGACGGUAGCUUAACUAUCGCAGUGCCUUUGAUACUGAUGGGCUUGAAUGAACUAGAGGUAGGCGGAAUGUGACAAGUAGCGGUGAAAUGCAUAGAUAUGUCACAGAACACCAAUUGCGAAGGCAGCUUACUAUGGUUUUAUUGACGCUGAGGCACGAAAGCGUGGGGAUCAAACAGG
rnacentral:rRNA from 1 species